AAAACGACGGCCAGUACCCGCUGAAUUUAAGCAUAUCACUAAGCGGAGGAAAAGAAACUAACAAGGAUUCCCUCAGUAACGGCGAGUGAAGUGGGAUCAGCCCAGCACCGAAUCCCCUAGGGCUUACCUAGCGGGAACUGUGGUGUUCAGGACGUCAACUGGUAGCGCAAGACCGACCCAAGUCCCUUCUGAUCGAGGCCUUUCCCAGAGCGGGUGUUAGGCCUUUAGGGUCGGUCGAACGUUGCCUGCGAGCGUCCCAAGAGUCGGGUUGUUUGGGAAUGCAGCCCAAAGCAGGUGGUAAACUCCAUCUAAGGCUAAAUACUGGCACGAGACCGAUAGCGGACAA
rnacentral:rRNA from 1 species